rnacentral:tRNA from 1 species
UGUGAGAUAAGCUAAUAACUAAGCUAUUGGGCUCAUAACCCAAAAAUGAACCCUCGUUCUCUCACAA